UCACAACUGAUAAGAGAAUGCCUGACAUUUCGGCACAGCCACAGUAAGCAGAGUGUGACGACGAGCAGCCAUUGGUGCAGCUAUGCUGACGCUGGUAGCCCUCGCCGUGGUUCUGGUCGGCGCCGUGGACGGGUCCACACCCACGGCGCUCUGCGGCACACAGCCGUGUCCUGAGCCGCUCCAGUGCCGUGAAGAGAGAGACGUGUCGGUCUGUGUGCGCGUGCCGGCCCCCACCUGCGCUGACACCAGCUGCCCGGCCGGACAAGAGUGUAUUCUGCAACAGGCGUUUUGUGACUCCUCACCCUGCGACCCGAAACCUACUUGCGUCAAUAGAAAUCCCUGCGGAACCUGCUUUGCUCCGCAGGAGUUCUGCCAGCUGCUGCCAUCGCCGAUCUGCCGUCUUGUCGUAACCAUAACAUGCGCCAACAAGAUCUGCCCGCCCGGAAAGAAAUGCAAGGAGCAAGUCUUUAACUGCUUCAGAGCCCCGUGUCCCCCGAUCCCAGAGUGUGUGUAAAUGAUUCUGUAUGUCUAAUGGCAUCAUAUGAGAUGAUGGCUACCCGAAACACGAUCGCGCAUAGAUAAAACACGUGUAAGGUCUCGCUUGGGUACGUAUGCUGGGGUCACAGCAUUAAUAUUAUUUUUGCGGAUCAUCUUGGCCUUCUAAGACACCUUAGCCUUCUAUCUUAUCGGUUCAUAAUUUACGAUGCGAUGGUCAGAAUCGAUUUUGCGUGUGGUUUUGAAACGUUUCAUUUUGUUUCACUAAAAAGCUGUUUACAUCAGAGACAUCUGGUACAAAAUGCAAAUAACUAUGCAAUGGUAAGGUGAUCACCUAACAUGCAUAAUACGUACGUUUCCAGAUAAGUAUUUGAAAACUUGGUUGCAAUAGCACUGAGCCGGUGCUGAUCACGACGGAAACCAGCUUUUAAGCGUAAUGGAGGUCAUGGAGUAGAAGAUUUUGUUCGGUUUCUUGCUUAGUUGGAGCAUUGCCACAGUUCUUUAUCAACAUCAGGAUAAUUGUGAGCCUCGUGUAUUUUUGUUAUGCUCAAAUGACGCCGUGCUUAAUAGGUGUAAUAAUCCUAAAGGAGUUGUCAUGCCAUAUGCUCUCGUUACUGGUGAACAAUUACAGUUUAUAUUGGGGUGUUCCGCUUCAGGCGUUCUAAAACCCAAAGGAGUAGUUCCGCUGCUUCAAUACAGGAUGGUCAUGAAAAGAAUAGUCAUCUGAUUAUUUCACGAAAUAUCCAGAAAAUAAGCAGCAUUUCUUAAAUGAAUGAAUCCGAAACUUUGAAUGGAUGGCUUCUGAGAUCAGCGCUCACGUUAAGAAGUGCUUGUGGUGUGAGCACUGACACUUCACACCCGCUCGCGCAACCGCAGGUCGACGACAGAAUUUGGUAGCAGAAGUUUAGCUUACCACAUCACUCGGCACGGUCCGUCCUGCCCUCUAACGUCAACUGACCUUUAGCGCGUCCGCUGCCGUCGGCCGCGAGUCAUACCUGUUGAAGGCAGACAGCGAGCUGUUGUGGCGACUCCAUCACACACCGUCACGCGUGGGUGGAUCGGAAGGCAGGCGAGCUAACCAGCUGAGUCGCCGGGACGGGAUUCACCAAAGCACGCUAAUGUCCCAUUUCAUAAUAUAUAUCGAGAAACGAAGCAAUUUGGCUGGUCCAUAAAUGAGUUGUCUACGCUCCAUGCAUCACGGCUCACCCGAGAUGUUCAACACAAAGCAUUCACAGCAUGAUUUUGAAGUGAAUAUCGUGAGUUGUACUUCGUAUUUGGACACACCUCAUCGCACCUCUCGUUUAACACGCGCUCGGGUGGGGUGGGGGCGGGGGUAAAAUUGACCCCUCUGAAGAUUUUUCCAGAAUGGUUUCCAAACGGCGCGGCGCAGCCGCGCCAAAUUUUUCACAGCUGUAGACAACUGAAUAGCAGAUCGUUUGACAUACAAAUUUAUACGUGCCUUGUAAAUUCACUGGCAUAUGACAGGUCAAAGUCAGGCCAUAGUUUCAACGAAGGCACUUCCUAGGGAAUCGUCCAAUCUGAUGCAAUAACGGAGAGUUUGACGGAGCCCUACAUCUCUGAGAUGCU